rfam:Zootermopsis nevadensis contig17002, whole genome shotgun sequence.
ACCGGUGGUCUAGCGGUUAGAACGUUGGUCUUGUAAUCCUGGGGUCUCGGGUUCGAUUCCCGGCGGUG